CCUACGGGAGGCAGCAGUGGGGAAUAUUGCACAAUGGGGGAAACCCUGAUGCAGCGACGCCGCGUGAGUGAAGAAGUAUUUCUGUAUGUAAAGCUCUAUCAGCAGGGAAGAAGAUGACGGUACCUGACCAAGACGCCCCGGCUAACUACGUGCCAGCAGCCGCGGUAAUACGUAGGGGGCAAGCGUUAUCCGGAUUUACUGGGUGUAAAGGGGGCGCAGACGGCAAUGCAAGCCAGGAGUGAAAGCCCGGGGCCCAACCCCGGGACUGCUCGUGGAACUGCAUGGCUGGAGUACAGGAGGGGCAGGCGGAAUGCCUAGUGUAGCGGUGAAAUGCGUAGAUAUUAGGAGGAACACCGGUGGCGAAGGCGGCCUGCUGGACUGUGACUGACGUUGAGGCCCGAAGGCGUGGGGAGCAAACAGGAUUAGAUACCCUGGUAGUC
rnacentral:rRNA from 1 species